GAAAUGCGAUAAGUAAUGUGAAUUGCAGAAUUCCGUGAAUCAUCGAAUCUUUGAACGCACAUUGCACCCUCUGGCAUUCCGGGGGGCAUGCCUGUCCGAGCGUCAUUACGCACCCUCAAGCCCGGCUUGUGUGAUGGGCCCCGGCGUCUCGUUCGCGAGACGGGCCCGAAAGGCAGCGGCGGCGUCGACCCGAUGAGCCCGAGCGUAUGGGGACUUCUGUCACACGUUCGCGGUGCGGACCGGCGCCUGCUUGACUUUUCUGAUUAUCCAGGUUGACCUCGGAUCAGGUAGGGAUACCCGCUGAACUUAAGC
rnacentral:misc_RNA from 1 species